GAUGAACGCUGGCGGCGUGCCUAAUACAUGCAAGUCGAGCGAACGGACGAGAAGCUUGCUUCCCUGAUGUUACCGGCGGACGGGUGAUUAACACGUGGAUAACCUACCUAUAAGACUGGGAUAACUACGGGAAACUGGAGCUCACAUAGGAUAUUAUUUUGAACCGCAUGGUUCAAAAGUGAAAGACGGUUUUGCUGGCCCUUAUAGAUGGAUCCGCGCUGCAUUAGCUAGUUGGUAAGGUAACGGCUUACCAAGGCAACGAUGCAUAGCCGACCUGAGAGGGUGAUCAGCCACACUGGAACUGAGACACGGUCCAGACUCCUACGGGAGGCAGCAGUAGGGAAUCUUGCGCAAAGGGGGAAAGCCUGACGGAGCAACGCCGCGUGAGUGAUGAAGGUCUUCGGAUCGUAAACCGCUGUUAUUAGGGAAGAACAUAUGUGUAAGAAACUGUGCGCAUCUUGACGGUACCUAAACAAAAAGCCCCGGCUAACUACGUG
rnacentral:rRNA from 1 species